rnacentral:tRNA from 1 species
CCUGGGUUGGCCGAGUGGUUAAGGCGUUGGACUUAAGUUCCAAUGGACAAGUGUCCGCCGUGGGGUUCGAACCCCACACCCAGUA